AUUGAAAUAGCUUAAUGGAAAAAGCGUUGAUGUCCGUAAUCAAAGAUGAGGGUUCAACUCCUUCUUUCAAUA
rnacentral:tRNA from 1 species